CAGCCCCCUGCCGACCACCACACCCGACCCCACUGCGCCGACGCACCACACGCGGCCGACGAAGCCGACCCCGCCGCCGGGCCCGACGCCGGAGCCCAGCCACGUCUGCGUGAAGCCCGGCCUCAACCCCGACCCGGACAAGAUGUGCUCUCCCUACUUCUACGAGUGCGUCCAGAACGGCGACAGCUGGGACUACCAGCAGUUCUCGUGCGGCGACGGUUCGGUGUUUGACCGAGUCAAGCUCGUGUGCGUGUGGCCGGACGACUCCGACGAGUGCAAGACCACACCAGCGCCAUCUGCGUAGAUCUUGACCGACGCCGGCGUU